AAUUUUUCGAAAAACUAAGGAUUUUCUUUUACCAGGAAUUAGAUUACCUUAGCCGUAUUUGGCACAAUUUUUUGGAAUUUUGGAUCCUGAAUGCUCUUCAACUUGGUACGUGUUUGGCUUUAUAACUAUUUUGAUCGUCACUGAUGAGUCUUUAUGUAGACGAAACGCGCGUCUGACGUACUAAAUUAUAAUCCUGGUACUUUUGAUAACUAUUUACAUGUAAAUGAUAGUUCAAUCACUGAAAUAAAAAAAACUAUAAAUUACUCCACUUGUUCUCAUCAUGUAAACAAAAGUACAACCAAAGUACA
rnacentral:lncRNA from 1 species